UACGAAGGGGGCUAGCGUUGCUCGGAUUGACUGGGCGUAAAGGGCGCGUUAGGCGGUUUUUUAAGUGAGGCGUUGAAAGCCCUGGGCUUAACCCAGGAGGUGCGUUUCAUACUGGAAGGCUUGAGUACGGGAGAGGAAAGUGGAGUUCCUAGUGUAGAGGUGAAAUUCGUAGAUAUUAGGAAGAACACCAGAGGCGAAGGCGGCUUCUGGCUCCGUAACUGACGCUGAGGCGCGAAAGCGUGGGGAGCAAACAGG
rnacentral:rRNA from 1 species